rnacentral:rRNA from 1 species
UACGAGGGGGGCAAAUGUUGUUCGGAAUCACUGGGCGUAAAGGGAGCGUAGGCGGGUUUUUAAGUCAGGUGUUUAAUCCCGGGGCCCAACCCCGGACAGGCACUUGAAACUGGGAAUCUUGAAUAGUGGAGAGGUCGGUGGAAUUGGGGGUGUAGCGGUGGAAUGCGUAGAGAUCCGGAAGAACACCGGUGGCGAAGGCGGCCUGCUGGGCUAUGGCUGACACUGAGGCGCGACAGCGUGGGGAGCAAACAGG